AGUGGCAGACGGGUGAGUAAUGUAUAGGAAUCUACCUAGUAGUACGGAAUAAUUGUUGGAAACGGCAACUAAUACCGUAUACGCCCUACGGGGGAAAAAUUUAUUGCUAUUAGAUGAGCCUAUAUUAGAUUAGUUAGUUGGUGAGGUAAAGGCUUACCAAGACAAUGAUCUAUAGCUGAUCUGAGAGGAUGAUCAGCCACACUGGAACUGAGAUACGGUCCAGACUCCUACGGGAGGCAGCAGUGGGGAAUAUUGGACAAUGGGCGAAAGCCUGAUCCAGCCAUGCCGCAUGAGUGAAGAAGGCCUUCGGGUUGUAAAGCUCUUUUAGUGAGGAAGAUAAUGACGGUACUCACAGAAGAAGUCCUGGCUAACUCCGUGCCAGCAGCCGCGGUAAUACGGAGAGGGCUAGCGUUAUUCGGAAUCAUUGGGCGUAAAGGGCGCGUAGGCGGGUUAGUAAGUUAAAAGUGAAAUCCCAAGGCUCAACCUUGGAACUGCUUUUAAAACUGCUAGUCUAGAGAUUGAAAGAGGAUAGAGGAAUUCCUAGUGUAGAGAUGAAAUUCGUAAAUAUUAGGAGGAACACCAGUGGCGAANGCGUCUAUCUGGUUCAAAUCUGACGCUGAGGCGCGAAGGCGUGGGGAGCAAACAGGAUUAGAUACCCUGGUAGUCCACGCUGUAAACGAUGAAUGUUAAAUAUGGGAAGUUUACUUUCUGUAUUAUAGCUAACGCGUUAAACAUUCCGCCUGGGGNCUAC
rnacentral:rRNA from 1 species